UGUGUGUAUAUGUGUGUGUGUGUGUGUGUGUGUGUGUGUAUACACACACACACACACACACACACACACACACAUUCCAGAAAC
rnacentral:miRNA from 11 species